rnacentral:lncRNA from 1 species
GACUGUUCUGCAGACAGAAUGAAUGUUGUUACAGUACUCAUUAGUUUAAGCAUCCAGUACUUGGGUCUAAAAGUCCCUACUUCAUUCCUUGGACAAGGUGGCUGCUCCAAAGAGGUUUCUGUGAAGAUAUCAUAUCAGGCUUGUGAGAGACUGCAGGAGGACAUGCUGCUGCAUGGCUCCACUUCAUUCGAAAAGCAACUACACGUAACAUCUACCCAGAGACUAUAAUGCAAUGAAGGAUUAACGGCAAGCUUCUGGGGUGGGAAGUGCUCAUUUGUGUGAGCUCCCUGAUAGACAUCGCCGCUGCCCAGCACCUUCAGAGCAUCUCAGCAGAUGCUGUAUUUGUUUCAAGCCAGACCUGACUUUUUGUUAUUGAGCUGUCAAAGGAGUAUGAAGGUGACGUAUAUUUUGUUCUCUCCAAUGUUAUCAUAAUCCAGAGCUGCUUCUACUGU